GCGUCGGUGGUGCAACGGUUAGCAUACGCUCUUGGAAAGAGUGAGAUCUGGGUGCGAAUUCCGGCUGAUACA